rnacentral:rRNA from 1 species
UACGUAGGGGGCAAGCGUUGUCCGGAUUUACUGGGCGUAAAGAGCGUGUAGGCGGCCAAACAGGUCCGUUGUGAAAACUGGAGGCUUAACCUCCAGACGUCGACGGAAACCGUAUGGCUAGAGUCCGGAAGAGGAGAGUGGAAUUCCUGGUGUAGCGGUGAAAUGCGCAGAUAUCAGGAAGAACACCAAUGGCAAAGGCAGCUCUCUGGGACGGUACUGACGCUGAGACGCGAAAGCGUGGGGAGCGAACAGG